rnacentral:rRNA from 1 species
UACAGAGGUCUCAAGCGUUGUUCGGAUUCAUUGGGCGUAAAGGGUGCGUAGGUGGCGCCGUAAGUCAGGUGUGAAAUUUCGGAGCUUAACUCCGAAACUGCAUUUGAUACUGCGGUGCUUGAGGACUGGAGAGGAGACUGGAAUUCACGGUGUAGCAGUGAAAUGCGUAGAUAUCGGGAGGAACACCUGUGGCGAAAGUGGCUCUCUGGACCACAACUGACGCUGAGGCGCGAAAGCUAGGGGAGCAAACAGG